rnacentral:rRNA from 1 species
AUUGAACGCUGGCGGCAGGCCUAACACAUGCAAGUCGAACGAGUGGCGGACGGGUGAGUAAUGUCUGGGAAACUGCCUGAUGGAGGGGGAUAACUACUGGAAACGGUAGCUAAUACCGCAUACCCUCGGAUGUGCCCAGAUGGGAUUAGCUUGUAGGGGGGGUAAAGGCUCACCUAGGCGAAGAUCCCUAGCUGGUCUGAGCGGAUGACCAGGAAAACUGGAACUGAGACACGGUCCAGACUCCAACGGGAGGAAGAAGUGGGGAAUAUUGGACAAUGGGCGCAAGCCUGAUGCAGACAUGCCGCGUGUAUGAAGAAGGCCUUGGGGUUGAAAAGUACUUUCAGCGGGGAGGCGUUACCCGCAGAAGAAGCACCGGCUAACUCCGUGCCAGCAGCCGCGGUAAUAC